rnacentral:rRNA from 1 species
UUAAAUUGAAGAGUUUGAUCAUGGCUCAGAUUGAACGCUGGCGGCAGGCCUAACACAUGCAAGUCGAACGGUAACAGGAAUCAGCUUGCUGAUUUGCUGACGAGUGGCGGACGGGUGAGUAAUGUCUGGGAAACUGCCUGAUGGAGGGGGAUAACUACUGGAAACGGUAGCUAAUACCGCAUAACGUCGCAAGACCAAAGAGGGGGACCUUCGGGCCUCUUGCCAUCGGAUGUGCCCAGAUGGGAUUAGCUAGUAGGUGGGGUAACGGCUCACCUAGGCGACGAUCCCUAGCUGGUCUGAGAGGAUGACCAGCCACACUGGAACUGAGACACGGUCCAGACUCCUACGGGAGGCAGCAGUGGGGAAUAUUGCACAAUGGGCGCAAGCCUGAUGCAGCCAUGCCGCGUGUAUGAAGAAGGCCNUCGGG